rnacentral:rRNA from 1 species
AGUGAACGCUGGCGGUAGGCCUAACACAUGCAAGUCGAACGGCAGCACAGUAAGAGCUUGCUCUUACGGGUGGCGAGUGGCGGACGGGUGAGGAAUACAUCGGAAUCUACUUUUUCGUGGGGGAUAACGUAGGGAAACUUACGCUAAUACCGCAUACGACCUACGGGUGAAAGCAGGGGAUCUUCGGACCUUGCGCGAUUGAAUGAGCCGAUGUCGGAUUAGCUAGUUGGCGGGGUAAAGGCCCACCAAGGCGACGAUCCGUAGCUGGUCUGAGAGGAUGAUCAGCCACACUGGAACUGAGACACGGUCCAGACUCCUACGGGAGGCAGCAGUGGGGAAUAUUGGACAAAGGGCGCAAGCCUGAUCCAGCCAUACCGCGUGAGUGAAGAAGGCCUUCGGGUUAUAAAGCCCUUUUGUUGGGAAAGAAAAGCAGCAGGUUAAUACCCCGCUGUUCUGACGGUACCCAAAGAAUAAGCACCGGCUAACUUCGUG